rnacentral:rRNA from 1 species
UUCGGAUUGUAGGCUGCAACUCGCCACAUGAAGUCGGAAUUGCUAGUAAUCGCGGAUCAGCAUGCCGCGGUGAAUACCGUUCCCGGGCCUUGUACACACCGCCCGUCACACCAUGGGAGUCGGUAACACCCGAAGCCUGUAGUCUAACCGCGAAGGGGGACGCAGUCGAAGGUGGGAUUGAUGACUGGGGUGAAGUCGUAACAAGGUACC